AUUGAACGCUGGCGGCAUGCCUUACACAUGCAAGUCGAACGGCAGCGCGGGGCAACCUGGCGGCGAGUGGCGAACGGGUGAGUAACAUAUCGGAACAUACCCUAGAGUGGGGGAUAACGUAGCGAAAGUUACGCUAAUACCGCAUACGCACUAAGGUGGAAAGUGGGGGAGUCUUCGGACCUCAUGCUCAUGGAGUGGCCGAUAUCUGAUUAGCUAGUUGGUGAGGUAAGGCUCACCAAGGCGACGAUCAGUAGCUGGUUUGAGAGAACGACCAGCCACACUGGAACUGAGACACGGUCCAGACUCCUACGGAGGCAGCAGUGGGGAAUUUUGGACAAGUGGGGGCAACCCUGAUCCAGCAAUGCCGCGUGAGUGAAGAAGGCCUUC
rnacentral:rRNA from 1 species